CUAUCUCUCACUCUAUCUCUCAACCCCUCUACCCGUCUCUCGCUCUGCUCCAUUCAUUAUUUUCUCACCCCUUUCGCUCUCCCUCCCCUCUUCCCUCCCUCUCCGAUUAGUCUCUAUUUUUUCUCUCUUCCCUCAUUUCUCCCCUUCUCUUUCUCUCUCUCUCUCUCUCUCUCUCUCUUUCUCUCCCUCUCUCUCAUUCUCUUACCUAUACGCAUAAUCGGGAACGCGUUCGUUGUUGUAUAUUAGAGAAGUUGUACGGUAGAGGUGAAUCUUAAAAAGAAAAAAAAAAAAAAGAAAGAAAGAAAAAGAAAAAAGAAAAAAGAACGAGGAAAAUGAUUGAAACAGGGAAGCGGAAGCGAGUGUGCAUCCUCGAGAAUGAUCGUGGUCGUGGUCGUGAUCCGGGGAAUCGAGUACGCACGCUCGUUGACGGGGACAGAGAGAGAAACGAGGCGCGUCAGGACGUUCGAGGGACGAUUAUCGUUGGAGAGUUAUCGUGCUCGUCGUCGUUGUCGUCGUCCGUGUUUCUUUUACGACGGACGAACGCUAAACCGACGGACAGGACGGGAGAAAAGGGGUGAAAGAGGGGGGGGCGCGGUGCAACGCACCAUUUCGAACGUUAACACCUACUUGAUAGUCGAGAUCUUUCCUUCCGCGAGACGAUUCCCGUGAUCGUUCUCGAGACGGGGAGGGGGAAGGGAAGGGAAGAAAAGAUGGAAAAAGGAAGAUAGAGGGGGAGGGGAGGGAGAGAGAGAGAGAGAGAGAGAGAGAAUGAUAUAAGGGUAUCGCGGUGCACGGAAAUAUCUCUGCGGCGAAAAUUUUCGAAACAAUCGAAUUAUUCUUACUUUCUCCUCCUCUUUCCUUUUCUUCUCUCCUGUGAUACGCGAAUCGGCGGAGGCACUCGAAGAAUCGAAAAUCGUAUCUCUCCUCUUUUUAUCCCUAUUUAUCAUCGACGUGGUCGUAGACGCGUAUCGUCGGAAUCAUCGAAAUAAUGACGAUAAUCGCGUGUUUGGUUGAUCGUUCGCAGGAUGCGUGGGUGUUUCGCGUUACCUCGAUAAAUUAUGCGUGUACAUAGAGGAUAGCGAGAGGGGGAUAGGCGAGAAGAGUGGAGAUCGUGUGUCGUGGUGGAGACUACAAUUCGGCCGUGUGUGUGUGUGUGUUGUGAAGAAAAAGAAGAAAGUGCUCUUUCUAUCAUUUUAUCGUCGUGUUAUCACGUCUCCACUCGAGGUCCAUAAACCGAUUCAAGUCUGGGAAGAAGCCUGGAAUUCCUACUGCAAAAAACUGCAAGCAAGCGUCCUAAAACAUUCCACGUAGAUCGUAGCCGAUCGCAAAAUGGGUUGUUUCGGCAGCAAAGAUAAGUUGAGCAAAGAAGAUAUGGAUUUUCUUAAAUCGCACACAAGAUACGACGAAGCAACUAUAAAAGAAUGGUACAAAGGAUUUAAACAAGAUUGUCCGAACGGUAGACUAACGCCGGCAAAAUUUGUCGACAUGUAUAAAAUGUUCUUCCCAUCUGGCAACGCGGAAGAAUUUUGCGAUCACGUUUUCCGUACAUUCGACAUGGACAAAAAUGGCUACAUCGAUUUCAAGGAAUUUUUGUUGGCUAUCGAUGUAACGUCUAGCGGGACGCCAGAAGAAAAACUGAAAUGGGCUUUCCGUAUGUACGAUGUCGAUGGAAAUGGUGUCAUUGACAUUCAAGAAAUGACCAAGAUCGUUCAGGCAAUAUACGACAUGCUCGGUGCAUGCUCGAGCAACAGACCGGCAGAUAGCGCGGAAGAAAGAGCGAAGAACAUCUUCGCGAGAAUGGACGAAAAUAAUGACGGUCAACUUACCGAGGAGGAAUUUUUGAAAGGUUGCCUUCAAGACGAGGAACUUUCAAAAAUGCUGGCCCCUUAAUUUCCGUGUCUUACCUCGGAUCCGAUGAUGACACACCAACCGAACCGAAUCGAAACGAAUUUCAAUUGCAUCUAUCCUUCCGUACCGAUCGUUCUAUAUUAUAUUCCAUAUAAUAUCAUUAUCGAACACGAUAAUCGGUGCGAUUGCCAACAAAAAAAUCGAAGGAAAAUCGGUGUCUUUCUCACGGUCUAACUUCAAUUUCGACUCGAAUCGAUAAAUUUCCUCCCCUCCCUUCCCAACGACAAUCCAUCCGAAUUUCAAUUCACCGAUACGAACGAACGAACGAGCGUUCGCGUUCACUCGGGAAAAUUAUUAUAAAUCGAUAUUAAACGGCGAGAAAAAAAGAAAAGAAAAGAAAAGAAAAGAAAAGAAAUAAUUGGACGAAGAAGACAAGUAUAUUUCGUUUUGUCAACAAGAAUCGUAGAAUCGUAGAAUUUCGCGAUAUUCUUGUCGGAUCGAGAUCGCAUCGAGUUUGAAGUUUGACCGAUGCUUCCACAGCAAGUACCUAAAAAUUGACGUUUAAGGUAGCUGAUCGACAAGCAUGCGAUUCACCGCUUUUUUCUCUCUUUUUAAGAUCGUACGUAUAAUAAUAAAAAAAAAAGAAAAAUCGCACAAGACGAUAAUAUAUUGGGUCGAUCGUUUAACGAAUGUUUGAAAAACGUCGUUAUUUCCAAUGGAAUGAAAAACGUAUAUAUAUAUAUAUGUAUAUAUAUAUAUAUAUAUACCGUCGAUUUAAAACGGACGUUUUAUUUGUUCUCGUUCUCUCUCUCUCUCUCUCUCUCUCUCUCUCUCUCUCUCUCUCUCUCUCUCUCUCUCUCUCUCUCUCUCUCUGUUGUUUUUUUCUCGAUAUCAGCAGCACGGUUAAUAGGUUAAUAGGUUGAUAUUAGUAAAAAUUAUAUAUAUAAGGUGAUUAAAAAUUUCUCAUCCGAAUUUAUAAUGUUUACAUACCCUAAUCUUUUAAUCUUUUCAACUCGAUCACCGUAAUAAUUAGUAUUUCAAAUUUACAUUUAUUUAAUCGUUCUCAUUGAUUAUAUUUAUUUAAUCGAUUUAAGAGACUCGAAUUCGCAAGAUUAGAUUUAUAUGAUAUUUACAUAUGUAUAACGAGAUAAACGUAUUAUUCGACGAUCGCGAUCGAAAGGAUUAAAGUGUUUUUUUAGCUCCAUUCAUUUCGCUUUCUCUUUUUACGCGUCUAUCUAUCCAUCUAUCUCUCUAUCCAUUUAUCUAUCCAUCUAUCUAUUUAUCUAUCUAUCUAUCUAUCUAUCUAUCUAUCUAUCUAUCUAUUUUUCUAGUUUGAUGAUUUUCGAUUUUUCGCUCAAUAUACAUAUAUAUAUAUAUAUAUACUUACACGCAUUGCGCGUUGAUUCGAAUAAAUAAAAUGACAAAGUAACAACGAUAGAAAGAACAAUAAUAAUAUUUUAUAACGAAACAUAUUUUCUGAGAAUUACCGAUAUCUUUUAUCGAAUAAAAGAUAAAACGAAGGAAAAAGAGAAAGUAAUUGGAAGGAAAAGCAUAACGAUUUCGAUCAUCUUCUCCAAAUAAAUGCAAUUUUUUAUCGUUCUUCGUUUUAUUCGAUGUAUUAGUUUCUAUUCCUUCUUCUUUCACCCCUCUCCCGGGGGGAAUUAUUUAUAAAUUUUUUUAAAAAAAUUUAUAAAUAUGCACAUGUUCUAUAGAAAGGAAAAAAUUCUAUAUAUAUAUAUACCGAUAUUUAUUAUCGAUGAAUAUAUUCUAUAGAAUGAAUGUCGAUACUUUUAGAUCGAUUUAGAACCGAUUAAUAAUUUUGCCGAUAAGAUACUUGGAAUUCUACGAAUUUAUAUAAAUCACGGGUAAGAAAAUAUCGUUUCAUUAUUAAGAAUUGGCGAGAGGGAAAUUUGGAAAGAGAAUGUUAGUAAGUUAGUAUCUGUGUACUAAUGUGCAGUUCGUGCAAUUAAUGUAAACAAAUAUUGUUGUAUCGCUCGCGUAUAUUUAUGCGUAUAUAGUUAUUUACAUAUAUAAUAGUAGGCUAAGUACAUAUCAUUGCCUUUUCUCUAAUUAUUCAAAAUCGACUCGUAGGCGCGAAGUUUUCUUCGUGUUUUUUCGUUGUGUACGUGCUUCCGCAAUUUCGGCCAAUUCGAACACGAAUUUUGAGAACGCAAUUUCUCGAUUAAUUUCUCGAUUGAUAUACGAUGAUGGAAAAACGUGUGCGCGUUCUUUUCUCAUUCGACCACAUUCCCCCAAAAAUCUCUUCUAUAUUUAAUCGAAACGAAAAAUUUAUGUACGAUAUACAUAUAUAUUAUUCACUUUAGGUAAGAUAUAAAAGAAAAAAAAAAAGGAAAAUAAUCUGUAUAUCUCGUUUAUUACAACAAUUCGAAAUAUCAAUGGCCCCCUUUUUUCCAUCUUUUCUUCGAUCGUAUCGUAACGAUAAGCUGUAUUCCAUUUUGUUUCGUAUAAAUCGUAAUUAUUCGUUCCGAUGAUUCGUGAUAAAUCAUCUGAAAAAAAAAAAAGAAAAAAAAAAGAAGGAAAUAAGAAAGAAAAAGGAUUUUCGUGCUACGAUUAAUUUACAGAAACGUACUCAUGGUUCGGAUAUUUUUCUCUGUUCGUUCCAACAACAAAUCGAAAGAUAAUACGAAUGGAAACAUCGCGAUCCUCCUCAAAUCGAAAGUGCAGCAUUGACAAUCGAAAUAUCAAGUUUCUUCUUCUAUUAUAAAAAAAGAGUCAAUGAAUAUAGAGAGAACAAUUUUAUAAAGCUUAAGAACACAAACCCAAAAGUGCAUUAUAUAUUACAAAUAUUACAUUGUUACGUCUCAGUUUCCAAUUUCCAAAAAGUCUCGCAGCGUUGAAAAAUUCGAAAGUCGAUAUUGUUAUCCUCGUAAAAAAAAAAAAAAAAAAUAAUAAAAAAUAAAUAAAUAAAAAGUAAAAAAUAAAAAAAAGGAAAAAGAAUAAGAACCAUCCGAAAUAAUAAUAAUAAUAAUAAUUCUUUUGUUUUUCGGAUUAACAAGUAUCUCGAGUCUUCUUUUCGUGUUCUUUUCGUGUGUUUGUACAUAUAAAAAUACUAACGCUGUAUAUACACGUUGUGUCACGUGUAUAUACGAAAAAUAUAUUUUUCAUAGGUAUUAUUCAGAAUCUUUGAAUCUUGUCUUGAUUGAUCGAGAUAAAAAUUGAAUUGAAUCGAGAGAAAAAAAAUUUCUUUAAAUAUAUUUGAAACGAUAAAAUAUUCGCUAUUUUAUUUUCAAUAAAUAUUAUAUCGAUAUGUUGUAAAUCGAUGAUGUAAAACAACGCAUCGAUCGAUCCACUUUGAUCACGAAAUUAAUAUACCGUUAAUAAUCUUGCUAAACAAGUUCAAAGAUAAAAGAUUAAUAUGCGAGCGAAAUAUCGAAUUAUCUACGCUACUUUGAAAGUCUAUUUUAUAUUUUUCUACGCCGUUCAUUCUAUCCUUCCUGCACGCCUUCAUGCACUCAUGCCUUCAACCUCUUCUUUAAAUUAAUCUCUCUCUCUCUCUCUCUCUCUAUUUCUCUUUCUCUUUCUUUCUCUCUCUCCUUCCUUUUUAUCGAUCGAUUUUCUCUAUUUCGCCGAAACGAUGCAUCGCAAACUAGUAGUUAACAAAUUUACAGGAAAACGAUUGUUACAGCGAAUAAAACAAAUUCUUUUAUUUUAUCCUCCAGCGCUUAAUCUCCUGAGCACUUUCGUAUUUAUCUCUUUUAAUCUAUUUAUUCGUACUCUGUUCUAUUUAUAUACCGUGUAUAACGUAUCAUUCGUUGCUCUUCAAAUUAUCGUAAAAUGUGUUGGAUGAAAUCAUUAAGUCGAGAAAGGAACGUACAAUUAUGAUUUGUAAUUUUAUUUUAUUUUUUUUUUUUCUUUCCAAAUUUUAUUCCUCCCUAUACGUCGCGAUUAAUUUUCUUCCAUAAUAGAAUUUAUAUAGACGUAACAAAUUUUUGGCAAUAUCUUUAUACUUACAUUUUUUACAAAACACUUUGGUACAAUCCAUGUUUAAUCCCCUCCUCGUAUAUGGAGAUGCAAAGAUACGAAUAUGAUUAUAGAGACGAUCUAAUAAGGAUAUAAUACGUGUAAUAAUAACGAAAGACUCGGUGAAAGACGAAUUCGUUAUAUAAUGUUCGUGUAAUAUUUAUUAAAAUUUCUUCUCUUCGAAGAAAAAAUUCCUUUUCGAAAUUGUAUCGCGUGAUAUAUAUUUAUCAUUUUCUAUCUUUAAUUAUAUAACGAAAUUAAUAUAUUAUUUAAA